AGUUACUCCUUGUGGACUGAUGUGUUAAACAUGUUUUACGAAGAUGAAAAGGGGCUCAGGAACUUGCAUGGGCACUGAUUGGAGGGCCCGCGAUCUCACCAGGACCUGAGCGUACUUUCAGUGCCUGCCCAAAGGGAGCUGGGACUCCGGCAUGACGGAGAGGCUGGAGUGCAUUCCCAGCCCUGCUAGAAAUGGCUGCUUCUCAGGAGCAGACGCGGUGCAGAGAAGUAGUGAUUUAGCUCGCUGGUCAUUAGCUGCGAGACGUUCUCCCCGGUCUGGGUGCCGACACCAGGAGAGAGGAGCCCCGCACAAGUUCUAUAUACAGAUUGUCACAUCGUCAGCGGUGAAGGGGAAGCUCCGUAAUUACUGAGAAGCACGGACUCCUGUGUGAAGCCAUCCUUGGAGACAAGCUGACAGCGAAACUGGGGACUGUCCCCAUGUGCCAACAUUCAAGAACAUCUUGAAGCCCCUGAUGUAUAAUCCUGAUCAGCAGUUGUAGAAGAGUAAAGAUUCAUUCAUCAAUAAAAUCCAAAGACUCC